AUGUCAGUUAGCUAACUUUAUUUUUUACGCUGUUAAAAUGCGGUGAUGGAUGCUGCAGCUCAAGAACAUCCAGCGUCGGAGGACGAGCAAAAGACCACUUUGGACGUCCUACGGGACCCAAGCGCAAGAAACACAAAUCCGAACGUCAAGAGCGUAUAGCUUCGGAGAAAUUUCCUAGAAGUUUCACCGAUUCUCAAGGUGAGCGAGUCAACGAAAAAACUUCGGAUAUGGCUUCUUCGUCGCUUACCCCGGAGAGUGGCACAAUAAUUCAAAAAUACUCCAGCUCCAAGUUAAUUCCUGGACCCGUUCAGUUUUCGAUCCUAACGCAGCCUGCUGGUGAUGUUGAAUUUGACG